AUGAGUUAUGAGUUACUCACUUGGUGCCAUUCCACCAUUGCUCCACCACAACCCAACAACCUCUUCUUGGAGUGGUGGUCCACCACGUCCCCUUCCUCCUACCGAAAAGGGCUCUCUUCCCUCUUCCUUCUGACGGCAUGGUACCUUUGGAAGCAUCGGAAUGGAUGCGUGUUCGACGGUCCACACCCCUCCCUGAGCCACCACCUACAGCUCAUCAAGGAUGAAGCUCGGCUAUGGGCGCAAGCGGGUGCUUUUGGCUUGGCCAACAUUUUUUUCGAGAAAACGCAAAAGAGCUUGCAUUUCAUUGUAUUGAAAAGACGGGGUUUAAUAGUUACAAUCCUCCUGGGAGGCAGUUACAGCUCGGGAUGA
rnacentral:rRNA from 1 species